AAUACACAUGGAUAGGUUUGACGAAUGACGCCGCCAUUUUGAAAAUCGUCUUGGAAAUUUUUUUGUUGUGUUUAGAAUACUCUUUCAAUUCGUGAAAUCCGGCGGCUGCUCAAUCAAAUUCGGGUGAAAUUUGGCAGUGAACGGGCGACACCAGAAACAAGCCGAUGAAAAUACAUUCCGGGAGCUGGAAAGGCAGAGCAACGCCAAAUGAUGGACAUCCAAGAGGCCAAUCUUGAUGACGGACAUCGCCGGACUUGUCGCAGAACAUAAGGCAUGAGAUGAGCUACGGUGCUACCGGUGCAACCCGAGGUGCAACCUACCCAACCUGCUUCGAAACCCCGUGUGCAUGGCAGAAAAAAAUUAGGUUUAUUUUAUAGAUUGCAUCUUUAUAAUAUGUAUCAAAAUGGUUCAUUGGAAUAAAAUUUAAGAGUAAACGUAAAGAAAAA